rnacentral:rRNA from 1 species
UACGAAGGGGGCUAGCGUUGUUCGGAAUUACUGGGCGUAAAGCGCGCGCAGGCGGUUUUUCAAGUCAGUGGUGAAAGCCCGGAGCUCAACUCCGGAAAUGCCAUUGAAACUGUAGAACUUGAGGACGAGAGAGGUGAGUGGAAUUCCCAGUGUAGAGGUGAAAUUCGUAGAUAUUGGGAAGAACACCGGUGGCGAAGGCGGCUCACUGGCUCGUUUCUGACGCUCAGGCGCGAUAGCGUGGGGAUCAAACAGG